GAUCGUGUGUGGAAAUCUUUAUUAGAAUAUUGGAAUGCACCUACAUAUCGUACAAAGUGUACACAAGCACAAAAAAAUAAAGCAUUUGAAAAGAGUGGAAGUAUGAACACAUGUGGCUCCAUCAACAUGAAUGAACAUGCCAUUCACAUGGAAAAUGAGCUUGGUCGACCUGUACACCAUGAUGAACUUUUUCAGCAAACUCAUAUACGAAAAGACACUGGUCAGUUUGUUGAUGAUAGAUCUAGGCGGACACAUGAAGAUUUUGAAGCUAUAUUUUCUUAAGCUAUAUCUGAGGUUGGA